rnacentral:misc_RNA from 1 species
CGCAGGGAAAGAGAAUAGUUCAAGAAACAACGACGACACGAAGAAACAGCGACGGAAAGCGAGGGAGAGAAAGAACAAAUAUCUCCUCCUCCUCACGGUCGUCUUCAUCAAUUAGACGCAGCGGAAGCCGAUCGCUAUCUCCACUUCGAGUCUCCGACAUCAUACUCGAUUCCGAUCAAGAAAUUCCAACGAAAUCCGCCAUUUCUUCCACCACAAGCAACGACAAACACUCAAUCUCAUCAUCCGUAUCAUUUCUCUCCGCAUUCUCAUUCUCCAGAGGUCAGAGAAGAUGGAGGAUCAG